UGUGGGUCCCGUGAGGCGUCAUGGGAGCCCACAUCACCAGUCUCUUGUGGGUCCCGCAAGGCGUCAUGGGAGCCCACAUCACCAGUCUCUUGUGGGUCCCGCAAGGCGUCAUGGGAGCCCACAUCACCAGUCUCUUGUGGGUCCCGCAAGGCGUCAUGGGAGCCCACAUCACCAGUCUCUUGUGGGUCCCGCAAGGCGUCAUGGGAGCCCACAUCACCAGUCUCUUGUGGGUCCCGCAAGGCGUCAUGGGAGCCCACAUCACCAGUCUCUUGUGGGUCCCGCGAGGCGUCAUGGGAGCCCACAUCACCAGUCUCUUGUGGGUCCCGUGAGGCGUCAUGGGAGCCCACAUCACCAGUCUCUUGUGGGUCCCACGAGGCGUCACGGGAGCCCACAUCACCGGUCUCUUGUGGGUCCCGUGAGGCGUCACGGGAGCCCACAUCACCAGUCUCUCUUGUGGGUCCCGUGAGGCGUCAUGGGAGCCCACAUCACCAGUCUCUCUUGUGGGUCCCGUGAGGCGUCAUGGGAGCCCACAUCACCGGUCUCUCUUGUGGGUGCCGCAAGGCGUCACGGGAGCCCACAUCACCAGUCUCUUGUGGGUCCCGUGAGGCGUCAUGGGAGCCCACAUCACCAGUCUCUUGUGGGUCCCGCGAGGCGUCAUGGGAGCCCACAUCACCAGUCUCUCUUGUGGGUCCCGUGAGGCGUCACGGGAGCCCACAUCACCGGUCUCUUGUGGGUCCCGUGAGGCGUCAUGGGAGCCCACAUCACCAGUCUCUUGUGGGUCCCGCGAGGCGUCAUGGGAGCCCACAUCACCAGUCUCUCUUGUGGGUGCCGCAAGGCGUCAUGGGAGCCCACAUCACCAGUCUCUCUUGUGGGUCCCGCAAGGCGUCAUGGGAGCCCACAUCACCGGUCUCUUGUGGGUCCCGCAAGGCGUCAUGGGAGCCCACAUCACCAGUCUCUUGUGGGUGCCGCGAGGCGUCAUGGGAGCCCACAUCACCGGUCUCUUGUGGGUCCCACGAGGCGUCAUGGGAGCCCACAUCACCGGUCUCUUGUGGGUCCCGCGAGGCGUCACGGGAGCCCACAUCACCAGUCUCUUGUGGGUCCUGCAAGUGUGUAGCUGCUUUGGUAAGGACUUUGUCAGUAGACACAAAGUGAGAACUGCUCAUCCUCUGCUCCCCGUCCUGUCUCCUGUGGUUACUGCUAACAAUUUCGUUUAUCCAUGUGGAGAUUUUUAAAAAGUCUUUUGGGAAUGGCGUUGUGGUGUAGCCGGUAAAAAGCUGCUGCCUAUGACGUCAGCAUCCCAGAUGGGCGCUGGGUUGAGUCCGGCUGCUCCACUUCCUAUCCAGCUCCCUGCUAACCUUCUCAGAAAGCAGCGGAAGAUGCCCAGGUCCUUGGGCCCCUGCACCCACGUGGGAGACCUGGAGGCAGCUCCUGGCAUUGGACUGCCCCAGCUCCGGCCGUUUGUGGCCAUUUGGGGAGUAAGCCAGCGGAUGGAAGACCUCUCUGUGCCUCUUCCUCUGCCUCUCUGUAUCUCUGCCUUUCAAAUAAGCAAAUAAAUACAUUUAAAAAAAUAGCUUGCUUUAGAUUUACUGAAUUUCGGGUCCCACCUGUGGCUGCCUUGGCAGAUCCAGACCAAGUCAUUCUGAGGGCCUUACACAGCCUCUGCAGGCCAGAUGGUCCCAUCCUUGCCCUAAAGCUUCAAGUUAAAAACAAAACAAAAAAAAAGACAGAACCUAAAACUGCAACUCAAUGCCAGUUUGCAGUGGCCUUUUUCCCUUAAAAUCUGAAGCAUUCUCAAUCCAUUAUGGAGUUUUCCAAGGCAACAUACUAGCUUUGUGUGAAUCUCUAUUAGUUUUUUUUUUUUCCCCUAUUUGACAGAGUUAUAGACAGUGAGAGAGAGAGACAGAGAGAAAGGUCUUCUUUCCAUUGGUUCACUCCCCAAAUGGCUGCUGUGGCCGGUGCUGCGUCGAUCCGAAGCCAGGAGCCAGGUGCUUCUCCUGGUCUCCCAUGCGGGUGCAGGGCCCAAGGACCUGGGCCAUCCUCUGCUGCCCUCCUGGGCCACAGCAGAGAGCUGGACUGGAAGAGGGGCAACCGGGACAGAAUCUGGCGCCCCAACCGGGACUAGAACCUGGGGUGUUGGUGCUGCAGGUGGAGGAUUAGCCUAGUGAGCCAUGGCGCUGGCCCAAUAGGUUUUUUUUUUAAACCUGCUGUGGCGCAGCAGGCUAAAGCCCCAGCCUGUAACGCCGGCAUCCUACAUGGGCAUUGGUUUGAAUCCUGGCUGCUCCUCUUCCGAUCCAUCUCUCUGCUAUGGCCUGGGAAAGCAGUAGAAGAUGGCCCAAGUCCUUGGGUCCCUGCACCCAUGUGGGAGACCCAGAAGCAGCUCCUGGCUUUGGAUCAGCUCAACCCUGGCUGUUGUGGUCAUUUGGGGAGUGAACCAGUGGAAUGGAAGACCUCUCUCUCUGUCUGGUUCUACCUUUCUCUGUAACUCUGUCUUUCAAAUAAAUAAAAAAUAAUUCUUUAAAAAAAAAGGUUCAUCACUAGGCUCAUCCUCCGCCUAGCGGCGCCGGCACACCGGGUUCUAGUCCUGGUUGGGGCGCCGGAUUCUGUCCCGGUUGCCCCUCUUCCAGUCCAGCUCUCCGCUGUGGCCCGGGAGUGCAGUGGAGGAUGGCCCAAGUGCUUGGGCCCUGCACCCCAUGGGAGACCAGGAAAAGCACCUGGCUCCUGGAUCCUGCCAUGCGAUCAGCGCGGUGCGCCGGCCGCAGCGCGCCGGCCGCGGUGGCCAUUGGAGGGUGAACCAACGGUAAAGGAAGACCUUUCUCUCUGUCUCUCUCUCUCACUGUCCACUCUGCCUGUCAAAAAAAAAAAAAAAAAAAAAAAAAAAAAAGGUUCAGUUGGGACCAGCAUUGUGGCACAGUGGGUUAAGGUGCUGUUCAGGAUCAGGCUGCUCUGCCUCGGAUGCAGCUCCCUGCCAGUGCACCUGGGAACGCAGCAGAGGAUGCCCAAGUCCUCGGGCCCCGCCAUGCCCGUAGAAGACCUGGACGGAGUUCCGUGUUCCUGGCUUCGGCUUGGCCCAACCCUGACAUUGUGGCUGAACCAGCAGAUGGAAGAUAUCUCUUUUUCUCUGCCUUUCAAAUAGAUUCUUUUUUUAAAAAAAGUUUUUAUUUUAUGUUUUGGUUUCCACAAUAAUUUAUGUAAAACAUUUAUUUAUUUAUUUAUUUUAAUUUUAAUUUUUAAUUUUUUUUUUGACAGGCAGAGUGGACAGUGAGAGAGACAGAGAGAAAGGUCUUCCUUUGCCGUUGGUUCACCCUCCAAUGGCUGCCGCGGCCGGCGCACUGCGCUGAUCUGAAGCCAGGAGCCAGGUGCUUUUCCUGGUCUCCCAUGGGGUGCAGGGCCCAAGCACCUGGGCCACCCUCCACUGCACUCCUGGGCCACAGCAGAGAGCUGGCCUGGAAGAGGGGCAACCGGGACAGAAUCCGGCGCCCCGACUGGGACUAGAACUCGGUGUGCUGGCGCCACAAGGCGGAGGAUUAGCCUAGUGAGCCGCAGCGCCGGCUCACAUUUAUUUAGUUUUUAAAGAUUUACUUACUCCUUUGAAGGGCAGAGUAUACAGAGAAGGAGACAGAGAGAGAGGUCUUCAUCUGCUGGCUCACUCCCCAAAUGACCACAAACGCGGGAGCUGUGCCGAUCUGAAACCAGGAGCCAAGAGCUUCUUCGUGGUGUCCCGCAUGGGUGUAGGAGCCCAAGGGCGUGGGCCGUCCUCCACUGCUUUCCCAGGCACAUCCGCAGGGAGCUGGAUCGGAAGUGGAGCAGCCGGGACUGAACUGGUGCCUAUAUGGGAUGCCAGCGCUGCAGGCAGCGGCUUUACCUGCUGCCCCACAGUGCUGUCCCCAAGCAGGCUAAUUUCUAAGUUGAUGAUUUUUUAUGGCUUGCAAACGAUGUUAGGAAUAUCCGAAUGGCCCCUGUCAGACAGAAGGCUUCCGUCCCUGCUUCAGGGGCAGGGUUGUUCCAGAGUGCGAGGAUGCCUGUCCCUAAUGAGCGUUCACUUUCUGAAGUGAAGGAAGCGCAGGCUCACCACGUGAUGAGCUCAGUUGAGCAGAGGAUCUGCUAGGGUUCCUUGUGCUUUAUUUCAUGAGUGGCCUGAAUGUAAGUGGGAGGCUGAGGGUUCUUAGACGCAGGGCUGGAGUUGUGGCGCCGGGGUUAAGCUGCCCCCUAGCGCCGGCAUCCCAUGUUGGAGCGCAGGUUCAAGUCCUGGCUGCUCUGUUCUUCCCAUCCAGCCCCGCAAAUGUGUCUGGGCCCUGCUGCCUGCUGGAGACCCAGAGGGCGUCUUGGCUUCAGGUCGUUGUGACCACUGGGGAACGAACCAGGGCAGAGCAGAGAUCUCUGCCCACCUCCCCGCCUUUCAAAUAAACAGGAGAAAAAUGAGUUAACACUGGUUUUAACUGUUUCUACUUGUGUGUUGUGUUAGGGACCAUGGGUAAAGCAUUUGAUGUCUGCUUCCUAACAGCCCUUUGAAAAGGGGUUAAUUGUCCUCACUUCCCAGUGCCCUGAGGUCAGGCCUUAGGGAUUGCAGAACCCACCCUUUUCACUGCCCUGUGCUUCCUAGGGGUCUCCCAGAGGAGGUUCUCAGAGGGAAUUGCGGGGGAAGGGUGCAUGGGGAGGAGGAGUCGCUGGAGUCGCUCUCCCGCUUCCGUGAGCCUGUGGGAGGGAAGGAAGGUGUGCUUUGCACGGGGUUUGUUUAAACCCCAGCGGUUAAGGGAUUAGCAGUGGAGCCUUGAUCCGAUUCUGGUGCUGGGAGGUCUUUGGGCUGCUGGCGACUUGCCCUCAGAAGGCAGUUCUCCUGAGAGGGUUGGUUAUGUAAGCCCCGUGUGCUUCCUGGCCCGCCCUUCUCUCUGCCUUCUUCCGGUCUCACCAGGUCCUGAGCCAGUGAGGUCACCUGAUCGCGGGCUGUGAGCCCCCAGAACUGUAGGAUAAAACAGACCCGCACUGCAGUGGGGAGCAGCUGACCGCUGUGGGAGGGCGGGGCCGGAGCAUGUUAGGUCAGUGCAGCUCGAAGGAAGUCUUGACCAGGCGGUGGAGUCCUCAGUCCACAGUGUGCCUUCCCGGCAGGGCGGAAGGUGGGGCGGCUGUCCUGUCCUGCGCAGCCCUUGCUGGGGUGGCCUGAGGGACGUGUGCCGUGCUGCCCGUGCUGCAGGCGGCCGGGCAGCAGGCCCGCAGCAGUUUCUGGAAGCAUGACUGGCAGGGCCCACUGUGGCCAGCACACACAGCCUUGUUCCUGGUGCAGCUUGGGGCCGAGACUCACGGUGCACGUGAGCAAGUGUGUGUGUCGGCUGUUAGACGUCAGUUAUUUAUUCGAGAGGAGGAAGAGAGAGAGAAUGCAACCAGGAGCUCCCCCGGCUGAUUUACUUCCCAGAUACCUGUGGUGACCAGGGCUGGACCAGGUCGAAGCUGGAAGCCAAGGACGUGUGUGUGUCAGGGACCCAACUGCUCGAGCCGUUGCCUGCUGCCCCCAGCUCAAGCUGGACCUGCAGUCGAGCCAGUACUCGAACCCAAGCACUCUGACGUGGGCGUGGGCCUCUUAACUGCUAGACCAAGCCCCUGCCCUGUGCUGUUUGAAUGCAGCUGUCAGACGGCACGAAGUGCACGUGCGCUGCUAGCAGGCGUGUGCUCUUGGAAGCUCUCACGGAGGAAGUUCUGCUGGAAACUUAGAUUCGGCCUCAAUGUGAAAUGAAAGUAGAGAAUUCCAUCUACACGUAUGUUGCCUUCGGGACUCGUGGGUCAUGCCUGAAGAAGGAGACUGUGUUUCUAGGCGGCUGACCGCAGCAGCAACCGGCGCUCUCCUCGACGCCAGGCGUCCCUCCUGCUCACUGGAGUGAAGAUCCCCUCCAGACAGCGACGAGUGACAGCCGCAGACAGUGCUGUGUGUCUUAAGGAUGUCUGCAACCUAGAUUCAUGCAGGCCUACCUGUGCGGUUGUGCGAGGUGUGCCGUCUGGAAGCUCCUCGCGCUCCUGCCCGGCACUUCGUCCGCGAUGUCUCUGCUCCCUGCGCUGGGCCCGGUGCAGGCCUGGCUGGGCAGGAGCUGGAGAAGUGCGGCAUUGACGCCAUGGUCUACACGCGCUACGUCCUCAGCCUGCUGCUGCGCGACGGCUGCGACCGCGACCUGCAGGAGCAGGUAC